AUUGAACGCUGGCGGCAGGCUUAACACAUGCAAGUCGAGCGGAGCGGCGGUCGGGUGAGUAAUGCUUAGGAAUCUGCCUAGUAGUGGUGGACAACAUCGCGAAAGGGAUGCUAAUACCGCAUAUUAAUAGAUGAGCCUAAGUCGGAUUAGCUAGUUGGGGGGGUAAAGGCCUACCAAGGCGACGAUCGGUAGCGGGUCUGAGAGGCUGAUCCGCCACACUGGGACUGAGACACGGCCCAGACUCCUACGGGAGGCAGCAGUAGGGAAUAUGUGGCAAUGGGGGGAACCCUGAUCCAGCAACGCCGCGUGUGUGAAGAAGGCCUUAUGGUUGUAAAGCACUUUAAGCGAGGAGGCGUUACUCGCAGAAUAAGCACCGGCUAACUCUGUGCCAGCAGCCGCGGUAAUUC
rnacentral:rRNA from 1 species